CAGAGGUGGAUUUGGAACUGGAGUUCAAUGCGACCUCCACAGUACCUAUCCCCAAGGGCAGUGACAUUGUUGAAACAUUGAAAGAGGCUGUGACCAAUCCAAACUCUAACUUCAACUUAUCUUUGGAUCUGAACUCCAUCACUGUGAUAAGGACCUCAAGCACAGCCACAAAUGUCUCGACAAAUACAACAGCUACACCUGUUGCAACAUCAACAACAAAAGGAAUCACAACCACUACUUCCAUCUCAGUCGCUGUUCCUGUUACCACAGUACCUGGUUCUGCCAUCACAAUACCAACUGGAGAACCCAUCACUGUUCCUGUUACUGGUUAUACAACUACAACCACAUCUGUGGCCCCCUCAACUACUGUUUCAAGCACAGCACCAACAUUGGCUAUGACAACUACCAGCACAACUCCAACAACUACUUCUACUACUACGACAACAACUACCACAACGACUGCACAUCUUGCAGUGGUUACAUUACAAGUCACCAUACAAGAGGUUUUUGUACCAGCUUUGAGUAAUCCUCAAAGCACAGAAUUUCAAACACUUGCGGUAACCAUUACUUCAGUGUGUGACGUGAUCUAUCGAGCAAAAUAUGGGAUAUUUUUCAUCCGGACGAUUGUCAUUUCAUUCAUACCAGUGUUCCGUUCUCGUAUGGCAGCAGACACACAGGUGGAGCUGGAAGUGGUGUUCAAUGAGACCGCCAUUGCAACUAUCGCUCAUGCAACUAUGCCCAAGGACAUUGACAUUAAAGACACACUGAAAGAGGCUGUGACCAAUCCAAACUCUACCUUCAACCUCUCUGUGGUUCCAAACUCCAUCACUAUUAUCAGGACCCCAAUUAUAACCACAAAUUUCACAACAAAUACAGUGGCUACUCCUAUCAUCAUCAUAACCGAUAUGAACACAAUGACUGCCCCUACCACCACAACUGCUGUGACCACAAUGACCACGCCAACCACCACAAGCGCUCCAUCCACCACAACCGUUGCAGCCACCAUUACACUUACUACAGUGCCUGUGGAGUUCACUUCUAGAGAGACAUUUACCUCCGACCUAUCAAACUCAUCCUCUCAGGCCUUUCAAACUCGAGCAUCACUGAUUAAAACACAGCUUGAACCUUUCUAUCAAUCAGCUUUCACAUCAUUCAACAGUUUGACAGUGACCGAAUUCAGAAAUGGAUCAAUCAUCAACACUAUGAAUUUAGCAUUUAGAUCUUCUGUCCUCAAUUCCACGAAGAUUGGGACCAUUUUAAUAAAUUCUGCACAGAAAAUCACAGCUUUCAACAUUGUCACCACCACAAUUAAGGUCAAUGGCACAGGUGGUCCUACAUCUGCUGUUCCUACUACAACUACUGAGGCUGGCACAACCAUCACAAAACCAACUGGAAAACCUGCCACUGUUCCUGUGACUGGGCCUGCAACUACAACAACAUUUGUGGCCCCCACAACUACAGUUUCAAGCACAGAAUCAACAUUAACCAUGAAGACUACCAGGACAACCACUACCUUAACACCAACUACAACAACAACAACAACGCCAAUAACAACCAAAACAACUACACAUCCUGUCGUGUUUACAUUAAAACUCACAAUUGAAGUUUUAUAUGUACCAGCAUUGACCAACACUGAAAGCACAGAAUUUCAAACACUUGCACUAACCAUUACUUCAGAGUGUGAUGAGAUCUACCAAUCAAAAUAUGGGAUCAUUUUCAUCCAGACGAUCGUCAUUGCAUUCUUACCUGUGUCCCGACGUUCCCUUAUGCCAGCAGAAACACAGGUGGAAAUGGAAGUGGUAUUCCAACAGAUCUCCGCAGAAUCUAGGAUGAGUAAUGACAUUGAAAAUACACUGAAAGAGGCUGUGACCAAUCCAAACUCCAACUUCAAUGUCUCUGUGUAUCCGGACUCCAUCACUGUUAUUAGGGUCCCAAAUACAUCCACAGGUGCCACCACAAUUACACCGGCUACUCCUGUCAUCACAACUGUUGUCCCAGCUGCUCCAACCACUACAACGGCUGCUGCCACCACAACCUCUGUGGCCACAAAUACACUCACUACAGUGUCUGUGGAGUUCACGUCCAAAGGAGAGACAUUUAUCUCCGACCUAUCAACCUCAUCCUCUCAGGCCUUUCAAACUCGAACAUCACUGAUUAAAACACAGCUUGAACCUUUCUAUCGAUCAGCUUUCACCUCUUUCAACAGUUUGACAGUAAUAAAAUUCAGAAAUGGAUCAAUCAUUAACACCAUGAAUUUAGCAUUUAGCUCCUCCGCUGUGCCAAAUUCCAAGGAAAUUGGCACCGUUUUGAUAAAGGCUGCACAAAACAUCACAGCUUUCAACAUCAACCCCACGUCAGUUACUGUCAGCGGUGAAGGUAAACAAAUAUUGUCCAUGCUUUAUGGUAAAUUCAUAUUUUGUAUGCCAUUAUCUAGAGGGUCUAUAUGGCGAAAACAAGGUUAUUGUAACAGUAACAGUAUUUGUAUUUAUUAUGGAUCCCCAUCAGCAGCUACUCUUCCUGGUGUCCAGCAAAAUUAAGGCAGUUUAUACAAUUUUAAAAACAUUACAAUACAUUCACAGAUUUCCCAACACAUUGUGUCCUCAGGCCCCUACUCCAACACUACCACAUAUCUACAGUACUAAAUCCAUGUGUAUGUGUGUGUAAAUAUUUAACAGUAAAUAUGUAGAGGCCUUAUUCACAAUAAUCAUGUUACAGGUUGGCAAAUACAUAUUUCCCUUUCAUGUUCACUUUCUCUCUCUUUAUCUAUGCAGUUGUGACCUCAAGUGGUAUAAGCAGCAAGACCAGUCUCUUCACUGCUUCCUGUCUGGUGGUGUUGUCGCUGCUGCUGUCAAGCUAGUCUCAGCAGCAAGCAGCAGUAUGAAAUAUCUUAACUUUGAAAAUGUAUUUACCUCAUGUCCCCCACUCCCAUCAUAUGUAAUGGCAACCUAUUUAAUCAGUAUUUGUUAACCUAAGUUGAUUCUCAUUAUAGUUAUAGUUAUUAUACUCAUUAUUCAAAUUGAAAUAAACAUAUUCUAAUCAAUUGGAGCUUAUUGCUGUGGUACAUUUACUUUGUCUUACAUUACAUUGAAAAGUUUAUUUUCCAACAAAAUGAGGAUUAGCAGAUUAAAAUGUAACGUCUUUAAUAAUUUAGAAGUGCAUCCCAGUCAUUUUGUACUCAUUUGAUGUGUGGCCCCAGUGGCAGAAAAUGUAUUGAAAUGUAAGAGUUGACGUUCUUCCAUGAUCAGAUAUUGUUUGGUUGUUCUGCAUAUUGUACAUUAUGCGUUUUAUAAACGUCUAAUGAUGUCACAUGCACAGUGGCGAUUUUAUCAUGUAAAUUAUGGUGGGGCAAACAUUUUUUUUUCUAGAUAGCUGCCAGCAAACCCACUAUACAACACAACACUAAACAAUACAUGAAUUGCACUGUAACAGUGUCAAAUGGUGCCCACACACUGUUAGGGCAUAAAACCUUCCAAACAGCAGAGUCCCAACACCUUAACACUGCUACACCUGGCUAUCAGCGGAGCCUUGUCUGGCAGCGAAACAGUUCAUUCAGCCUCAUUUAGUGCCUUUCAAAAACAAAUUGCUGACAUGGCUGACUUGCUUAAACAAAUGUGGUUUCUACUGACAAUUGAGGUGUACAAACUAUGGCAUAAGGGGACGACGAGUGGAUAGGAGGCAAUCCAUCAUUUUGAUUAUGACAUUAAUGAGAGCGCUAGGACGGACGUAGUCAAUGUGACGACCCUCCCACUCUGUCUGCAGUAUUCUGUCUUUGUUCUUGUUUCCUUAUUAGGAUGCCGGUGGGCGGAGUUGGGAGGGUCGUCAGCUUCAUGGGCCAGGUGUCUCCCAGGAUAAAUAGACCUCUUCCACAUUCAUGGAAGAGACUCUCUCCAUGCAGACACCUUUGUAGAUGCUGUUGUGGUUCUUGGUGGCCUUUUGUUUGUUUGCUUUGGCACCUUUCAACACCCUGCAUUCUCACAUUCAUGCAUGCAAAACACUCACUUACACUACUGAGUACACACACCAUUGUAUAUUUUCCUUAGUUGCUUUAGUUAAUAAAUAUAUAUUUUGUUACUCCUUA
ensembl:lncRNA